rnacentral:rRNA from 1 species
GACGUAGGAGGCGAGCGUUGUCCGGAUUCAUUGGGCGUAAAGAGCACGCAGGCGGUUUGGCAAGUCGGAUGUGAAAACCCGAAGCUCAACUUCGGGCGUGCAUCCGAAACUGCCCGACUAGAGGUAGGUAGGGGAGAUCGGAAUUCCUGGUGUAGCGGUGAAAUUCGUAGAUAUCGUUUGGAACGCCAAUGGUGAAAACAGACAGCUGGGAGUGUGCUGACGCUGAGACACGAAAGCCAGGGGAGCGAACGGG